CCUACGGGGGGCAGCAGUGGGGAAUUUUGGACAAUGGGGGCAACCCUGAUCCAGCCAUUCCGCGUGAGUGAAGAAGGCCUUCGGGUUGUAAAGCUCUUUUGUCCGGAGCGAAACGGGCGGCCCUAAUACGGUCGUCUACUGACGGUACCGGAAGAAUAAGCACCGGCUAACUACGUGCCAGCAGCCGCGGUAAUACGUAGGGUGCUUAAGGUAAGCGGAACGUCUGGGCGCGGUGCGGUAGGCCAGAUGUGAAAUCCCCGGGCUCAACCUGGGAAUGGCAUUUGGGACUGCAAGGCUGGAGUGUGGCAGAGGGGACUAGAAUUCCUGGUGUAGCAGUGAAAUGCGUAGAUAUCAGGAGGAAUACCGAUGGCGAAGGCAGGUCCCUGGGUUAACACUGACGCUCAUGCACGAAAGCGUGGGGAGCAAACAGGAUUAGAUACCCCUGUAGUC
rnacentral:rRNA from 1 species